CUUGGGGUGGGGGGGCUCAGCCCAGAUUGCGAGAGGGUGCAGGCUGGGCCGAGGGACCCCAGCCGUGCACA
rnacentral:pre_miRNA from 1 species